rnacentral:rRNA from 1 species
UUGAACGCUGGCGGCAGGCCUAACACAUGCAAGUCGCGCGGAUGAAGGGAGCUUGCUCCUGGAUUCAGCGGCGGACGGGUGAGUAAUGCCUAGGAAUCUGCCUGGUAGUGGGGGAUAACGUCCGGAAACGGGCGCUAAUACCGCAUACGUCCUGAGGGAGAAAGUGGGGGAUCUUCGGACCUCACGCUAUCAGAUGAGCCUAGGUCGGAUUGGCUAGUUGGUGGGGUAAAGGCCUACCAAGGCGACGAUCCGUAACUGGUCUGAGAGGAUGAUCAGUCACACUGGAACUGAGACACGGUCCAGACUCCUACGGGAGGCAGCAGUGGGGAAUAUUGGACAAUGGGCGAAAGCCUGAUCCAGCCAUGCCGCGUGUGUGAAGAAGGUCUUCGGAUUGUAAAGCACUUUAAGUUGGGAGGAAGGGCAGUAAGUUAAUACCUUGCUGUUUUGACGUUACCAACAGAAUAAGCACCGGCUAACUUCGUG